CCACGGUGUUCGCUUUUCAGAACCCCACAGAG
rnacentral:misc_RNA from 1 species